UCCACUAAGCUUCAGCUAUACACGACCGUACCGCAAACCGACACUGGUGCGCGAGAUGAGUAUUCUAAGGCGCUUGAGAGAACUCAGGAGAAGGAACUCGGCAAAUUGACACCGUAACUUCGGAAGAAGGUGUGCCCUAUUAGUGUGAAGUGAACAACGGAGCAUGAAUGGGUUGCAAAAAAUCGGUGGCUGCGACUGUUUAUUAAAAACACAGCACUCUGCAAACACGAAAGUGGACGUAUAGGGUGUGACGCCUGCCCGGUGCUGGAAGAUUAAAUGAUGGGGUGCAAGCUCUUGAUUGAAGUCCCAGUAAACGGCGGCCGUAACAAUAACGGUCCUAAGGUAGCGAAAUUCCUUGUCGGGUAAGUUCCGACCUGCACGAAUGGCGUAACGAUGGCCACACUGUCUCCUCCUGAGACUCAGCGAAGUUGAAAUGUUUGUGAUGAUGCAAUCUCCCCGCGGAAAGACGGAAAGACCCCAUGAACCUUUACUGUAGCUUUGUAUUGGACUUUGAACAGAUCUGUGUAGGAUAGGUGGGAGGCUUUGAAGCAGGGUCGCUAGAUCUUGUGGAGCCAACGUUGAAAUACCACCCUUGUGUGUUUGAGGUUCUAACCUAGGUCCAUUAUCUGGAUCGGGGACAGUGCAUGGUAGGCAGUUUGACUGGGGCGGUCUCCUCCCAAAGCGUAACGGAGGAGUUCGAAGGUACGCUAGUUACGGUCGGACAUCGUGACGAUAGUGCAAUGGCAUAAGCGUGCUUAACUGCGAGACUGACAAGUCGAGCAGAUGCGAAAGCAGGACAUAGUGAUCCGGUGGUUCUGUAUGGAAGGGCCAUCGCUCAACGGAUAAAAGGUACUCUGGGGAUAACAGGCUGAUACCGCCCAAGAGUUCAUAUCGACGGCGGUGUUUGGCACCUCGAUGUCGGCUCAUCUCAUCCUGGGGCUGUAGCCGGUCCCAAGGGUAUGGCUGUUCGCCAUUUAAAGAGGUACGUGAGCUGGGUUUAAAACGUCGUGAGACAGUUUGGUCCCUAUCUUCCGUGGGCGCUGCAGAUUUGAGGAAGCCUGCUCCUAGUACGAGAGGACCGGAGUGGACACACCUCUGGUGUAUCGGUUGUCACGCCAGUGGCAUUGCCGAGUAGCUAAGUGUGGAAGAGAUAACCGCUGAAAGCAUCUAAGCGGGAAACUCGUUUCAAGAUGAGAUCUGCCGGGGCCUUGAGCCCCCUGAAGAGUCGUUCAAGACCAGGACGUUGAUAGGUCAGGUGUGGAAGCGCAGUAAUGCGUUAAGCUAACUGAUACUAAUUGCUCGUGCGGCUUGACCCU
rnacentral:rRNA from 1 species